CCUACGGAGUGCAGCAGUGAGGAAUAUUGGUCAAUGGGCGCGAGCCUGAACCAGCCAAGUAGCGUGAAGGAUGACUGCCCUACGGGUUGUAAACUUCUUUUAUAAAGGAAUAAAGUGAGUCACGUGUGCCUUUUUGUAUGUACUUUAUGAAUAAGGCUCGGCUAACUACGUGCCAGCAGCCGCGGUACUACGGAGGAUCCGAGCGUUAUCCGGAUUUUUUGGGUUUAAAGGGAGCGUAGAGGGGUUGUUAAGUCAGUUGUGAAAGUUUGCGGUUCAACCGUAAAAUUGCAAUUGAUACUGGCAGUCUUGAGUACAGUUGAGGUAGGCGGAAUUCGUGGUGUAGCGGUGAAAUGCUUAGAUAGCACGAAGAACUCCGAUUGCGAAGGCAGCUUACUAAACUGCCACUGACAUUGAUGCUCGAAAGUGUGGGUAUCAAACAGGAUUAGAUACCCCAGUAGUC
rnacentral:rRNA from 1 species